CUGGGGACAAUGGACCUUGUUCGCAAGAACAUGAAGACUUGGUGGUUCUUCCUUUUUCUGGUGGCAGCUCCAAAAUGUGUCCUGUCCCAGGUGCAGCUGAAGGAGUCUGGACCUGGCCUGGUGAAGCCCUCGCAGACCCUGUCCCUCACCUGCUCUACCUCUGGAUUCUAUUUAACCAGCUAUAGUGUGCACUGGAUCCGGCAGGCUCCAGGAAAGGGGCUGGAGUGGGUUGGCUUAAUGGGCUAUGAUGGAAGCACAUACUUCAACCCAACUCUUAAGUCCCGGCUCAGCAUCACCAGGGACACCUCCAAGAAUGAAGUUUCUUUAAAACUGAGCAGCCUGAGAACCGAGGACACAGCCACAUAUUACUGUGCAAGAGACACAGUGAGAGGAAGUCAGGGUGAGCCCAGACAGAAACCUCCCCUGAGGGCACAGUAG